GAUGAACGCUGGCGGCGUGCCUAAUACAUGCAAGUCGAGCGAACAGACGAGGAGCUUGCUCCUCUGACGUUAGCGGCGGACGGGUGAGUAACACGUGGAUAACCUACCUAUAAGACUGGGAUAACUUCGGGAAACCGGAGCUAAUACCGGAUAAUAUAUUGAACCGCAUGGUUCAAUAGUGAAAGACGGUUUUGCUGUCACUUAUAGAUGGAUCCGCGCCGCAUUAGCUAGUUGGUAAGGUAACGGCUUACCAAGGCGACGAUGCGUAGCCGACCUGAGAGGGUGAUCGGCCAAACUGGAACUGAAACACGGUCCAGACUCCUACGGGAGGCAGCAGUAGGGAAUCUUCCGCAAUGGGCGCAAGCCUGACGGAGCAACGCCGCGUGAGUGAUGAAGGUCUUCGGAUCGUAAAACUCUGUUAUUAGGGAAGAACAAAUGGGUAAGUAACUAUGCACGUCUUGACGGUACCUAAUCAGAAAACCACGGCUAACUACGUG
rnacentral:rRNA from 1 species